rnacentral:rRNA from 1 species
GACGAACCGAGCGAACGUUGUUCGGAAUCACUGGGCUUAAAGAGCGUGUAGGCGGUCCGGUAAGUCCGCUGUGAAAGUCGGGGGCUCAACCCUCGAAUGCCGGUGGAUACUGUCGGGCUAGAGUGCGGAAGAGGCGAGUGGAAUUCCUGGUGUAGCGGUGAAAUGCGCAGAUAUCAGGAGGAACACCUAUUGCGAAGGCAGCUCGCUGGGACGUAACUGACGCUGAGACGCGAAAGCGUGGGGAGCAAACAGG